GACGAACGCUGGCGGCGUGCCUAAUACAUGCAAGUCGAGCGGAUUGAUGGGAGCUUGCUCCCUGAUAUCAGCGGCGGACGGGUGAGUAACACGUGGGCAACCUGCCUAUAAGACUGGGAUAACUUCGGGAAACCGGAGCUAAUACCGGAUAAUCCCUUUCCUCUCAUGAGGAAAGGCUGAAAGAUGGUUUACGCUAUCACUUAUAGAUGGGCCCGCGGCGCAUUAGCUAGUUGGUGAGGUAACGGCUCACCAAGGCAACGAUGCGUAGCCGACCUGAGAGGGUGAUCGGCCACACUGGGACUGAGACACGGCCCAGACUCCUACGGGUGGCUG
rnacentral:rRNA from 1 species